UCGACCUGAGCUCAGGCAAGAUUACCCGCUGAAACUUUAAGCAUAUCAAUAAGCGGAGGAA
rnacentral:rRNA from 1 species